GUGUUCACUUUGGCAGCACAUGCACAAAAAUUGGAACAAUACAGAGAAGAUUCAUAAGGUGUCUGCGCAAGGAUGACAUACAAAUUUGUGAGGUGUUCCACAUAAAA
rfam:Papio anubis isolate 1X1155 chromosome 2, whole genome shotgun sequence.